AUACAGUCAAAAUCUGUUACUUAAACAUUUAAGGGGCCGCGAUUAUUAGGUCGCAAAACGUACUAGUUGUAAUAACUUGU